rnacentral:rRNA from 1 species
GACGAACGCUGGCGGCGUGCUUAACACAUGCAAGUCGAACGGAAAGGCCUCUUUCGGGGGGUACUCGAGUGGCGAACGGGUGAGUAACACGUGAGUAACCUGCCCUUGACUUUGGGAUAACUUCAGGAAACUGGGGCUAAUACCGGAUAGGAGCUCCUGCUGCAUGGUGGGGGUUGGAAAGUUUCGGCGGUUGGGGAUGGACUCGCGGCUUAUCAGCUUGGUGGUGGGGUAGUGGCUUACCAAGGCUUUGACGGGUAGCCGGCCUGAGAGGGUGACCGGCCACAUUGGGACUGAGAUACGGCCCAGACUCCUACGGGAGGCAGCAGUGGGGAAUAUUGCACAAUGGGUGGAAGCCUGAUGCAGCAACGCCGUGUGCGGGAUGACGGCCUUCGGGUUGUAAACCGCUUUCGCUCAUGACGAAGCUUUGUGUGACGGUAGUGGGUAAAGAAGCACCGGCUAACUACGUG